UUUCUCACGAGGCUGCCUUGCUAUCAAGGAGUUUUCCCUUUCUGUAUUUUAUAUCAAGUCACAGGUUUUACCAUUCAUACCCAGCACUACAUUCUAGUUUAGGAAUAAACCAGCUUAAGGUGUUUUUCUAGCUUCUACCUACUAGCUUGUUAUCCUCUUAACCUUGGUCACCCUUACGUAGGUCUCUAGAUUUUUGGAUGUGUUUUUUGAUGGAGAAGAGAUUCUAUGAUCCAAGCUUGAUGGUGGGAAUUGACUUUAUUUUGGGAAAUGUUAGUAGGACCAGUUUUGGUGUAAAGUGGUAAAAUUUGUGACACAAGUAGUAGGAUAUACAGUAGUACCCUUCUUGGUAGGGUGUGCUACCUUUCCCUGUGCCACUCAGGGCUCUGGGAUGUCCGUCAGGAUCAAGAAGAUUGACUCCUUGUUGCCAGGGGUUCCCUGGAGGAAACCGAUUGUGCUGGCUGAAGGUGCUCACUCCAACCCCAGGGAGUCAGGGACAUCCUGUUCAGGCCUUGCAGGCGGACUGGGACAUCCCGUUCAUGCCUUGCACCUUGGUUCCCACCAUGAGACAUUUCAGAAACUGUGUCCUGAGCCCUGCCAUGCUGCCAUCUCCUGCUGCUUGAGGGGUCAAAACUCCGGGCCUGCUGACGCCUGCUGUGGCCAUCAUGGUUCCGCCUCCGGGACCUGCUUCGGUGCCUUUCCCGGUCUCUGGCACGGUUAUUGUCAUGCUCCCCACCGGAAGAUCUGCGGUAUGCAUGGUCUGCGGAAUGAUGCCUCCUCCUGUCUGCAGAGUGGCGACGAUGUCUCCUUCCUCGAUUACGUCUGAUGGAGUUGAUGUAGUACACCUCAUAGUUAUUGUCUCCCACUUUGCGGAAGAGGUAUCGGAAAUGCUCCUGGCAGACCGGGCAAAGAGGUCUGAUGCGGGACCAUUCCAGUAUGCAAGAAAAGCAGAAAGCAUGUCUACACCAGCUCACGGAGGUUUCCUCCUCAAUGGUGUCCAGGCAGAUUGGGCAGUUAAAAGCUCUUCGAGGGAUAGCCAGGGGCACCUGGUUGUUGCUGACAGUAGAGGAAGAGGAGUCACCUUCUGAGAAACCCUCCUCCAAUGCCAUUUGGUACUGCAAACCAAAGAGAUGCAAGGCUCCUGGCCUGCCCUGGAGACACAAUCCAGAGAUACAGUCUGCAGACAGCAGCCAAGCUGUCCACACCAAGCACUGAAGAGCUGCCCCCUCUACCUCAAGGCUCUGCUUGAGCUACCAUGAGGGCCUGGGGCAGACAAGUGACACCAGAAGUGUCUCUGCAUGUGACAGCUCUCAGGGCAGGGCAGGGCAGUGACUGACCUCUCUGACAUGUGGAAGCAGGAAUUGUGAAAAUGUAUAAGCAGUUUCUGGCCUCUCAGCACCAGCAGCUGAAGCCUGGGAGUUCAUCAGAUUGACACCAGCUCCCCAGGUCCUGCCCUUAUCACUGCAGAACAAAUCCUCUCUUAUCACUGCAUAACAAAUCCUCCUGUGGAGGAGGGCAGGCAUUCUGGCCCUUCAGGGCUGCCCCACACUGCAAAAGGGAUUGAUGUCACACAUGUCACAAUGGCUUUGUGGUGACACCACAGGGCUUUCAGGAACUACACACAGAACACAUAAGCUCUGGCCUUGGGGAAGGAAAGGUUCCUACAUUCACUAGGCUGCCUUGCUAUCAAGCAGUAUCCUCUUUCUGUAUUUUUUUAUAAAGUCACAGGUCUGAUUCAACUCCUCCUGGUCAGCACUGAGGAGGCCACACCUGGAGUACUGUGUCCUUUGCAGGACUCAUCCUCAUGAGAGAGGGCUGGACAUAUGGGAGACUACUAGAAAAAAUUCUCAAGGGUAAUUAAGGAACUAGAGCAUCUCCCCUGUUAGGAAGUGCUGAAAGUUCUGCCUACAGACUCUUCAACCUGAAGGAGACUCUGAAUAGGGUAAUAUUUCAAGGUAUUUCCAUACCUGAUGGGAGGGUGCAGAGAAGACUGAGACAGGCUCUUUUAAGAGAUGCCCAGUGACAGCAGGCACAAAGCAAAAUACUGCAAAGCAAAAACCUUCCUUCUGAACAUCAGAAAGAUGGUUUUUUGCUGUCACAGUGACUGAGCAGUGACAGAUCUAGCCCAGGGUGCUCGUGGGAUCUCCUUCCUUAGAGAAACUCAGAAGCUGUGUGGCUGUGGUCCCUGGCCACCAGCUUUCAGUGGCUCUGCUUGAGCAGGGGAGCUGCCUGGUCCUUUUUCACCUCAGUCAUAUUGAGGUGAUUCUGUGACUCAAAGCACACUUGAGCAAGCUAACAAAGCAUGUUGAGGUUGCCUGAUGUGGGAAAAUUUCAUGCUCAUGAAGAGUCAGGUUUGCCUCAUACAACUUAAUCAUCCAUGAAUCUACGACUUUUUACCCCCUGGGCUUUAUUAGUGACUGCACAGAAAACUAACAAGCAGAUUGAAAGCAUGAGGGCUCCAUAAGGUUAAAUGUCUCCUUAAAGGUAUUGGUAUGUUUUCAUAGCAUGCACUGCACAUGACCAUAGUUUUCCCAGGUGCUUGUCAAGUCACAGUUUACAACUAAAUCAACUUGC